rnacentral:rRNA from 1 species
CAGUAGCCGCGGUAAUACGGAGGGUGCAAGCGUUAAUCGGAAUUACUGGGCGUAAAGCGUGCGUAGGCGGUUUGUUAAGUCUGUUGUGAAAUCCCCGGGCUCAACCUGGGAAUGGCAAUGGAUACUGGCAGGCUAGAGUGUGAUAGAGGAUGGUGGAAUUCCCGGUGUAGCGGUGAAAUGCGUAGAGAUCGGGAGGAACAUCAGUGGCGAAGGCGGCCAUCUGGAUCAACACUGACGCUGAGGCACGAAAGCGUGGGGAGCAAACAGGAUUAGAUACCCCUGUAGUCCCUGUCUCUUAUAC